AAACUUAAAUGAAUUGACGGGGGCCCGCACAAGCGGCGGAGCAUGUGGAUUAAUUCGAUGCAACGCGAAGAACCUUACCUGGGUUUGACAUGCACAGGACGACUGCAGAGAUGUGGUUUCCCUUGUGGCCUGUGUGCAGGUGGUGCAUGGCUGUCGUCAGCUCGUGUCGUGAGAUGUUGGGUUAAGUCCCGCAACGAGCGCAACCCUUGUCUCAUGUUGCCAGCACGUUAUGGUGGGGACUCGUGAGAGACUGCCGGGGUCAACUCGGAGGAAGGUGGGGAUGACGUCAAGUCAUCAUGCCCCUUAUGUCCAGGGCUUCACACAUGCUACAAUGGCCGGUACAAAGGGCUGCGAUGCCGUGAGGUGGAGCGAAUCCUUUCAAAGCCGGUCUCAGUUCGGAUCGGGUCUGCAACUCGACCCCGUGAAGUCGGAGUCGCUAGUAAUCGCAGAUCAGCAACGCUGCGGUGAAUACGUUCCCGGGCCUUGUACACACCGCCCGUCAC
rnacentral:rRNA from 1 species